UUAACUAUUAUAUAGUACUCAGACAUCACUGAUAAAAGAGUUUGGGUCCUCUGGCGGGCGCGAUCAGCCGGGGCCGACGCCUAAAAGGACGGCCCGCCAAAGCAACAAAGGUAAAUAAACACAGGGUGUAUGAUAUCUCCCUUUCCGAACGAAUGCGUUUUACGGCACCCGUAAGGUCCGGUUACAUUAAUGAUCCUUCCGCAGGUUCACCUACGGAAA
rnacentral:misc_RNA from 1 species